AUAAGGAGCUUGGCCGGCCACACCUCCUCUCCUUUGCCUCAUUUCUUUUCACUCCCUACUAUUUCCUCCACUCCCUCACACUCUCCUCCUCCACUUCCCCACGAAAAUGGUGCUCCCCUUGCUCCCAUGGCCGGCCAUGGCCAUGGCAAGCCACCAAGAUGAAGCUCUCCCUCUCCCUCAAGCUCCUCCUCACCAUGAGAGCCUCCCUCUCCUUCUUCUCCCCAACCCUAGAUGGUUUUCUCUCCUCUUCUUCUUCCUCCCUUGCUAAGAUUGGAUCUUGAUGCAGGUGCAUGUUGGUCCAAGCAUGGAGAAGCUUGAGCUAUCCUCAGAUCUGAAGUUCUUGAGCAAAAUCCAAAUCGAGUGAUUCAAAGUUCCGCAGAUAGGUAUUGAAAAGAUCUACAACUUGGCAUUGGUCUCAUCCUCAAAUUCGUUACGAAUUUUGCAUGAUCAAGAUCUGGUCAGAUCUGACUUUGUCGAAUUAAACCAGGAGCUUGGAAACUAAUUUUUGAAUGAAACCAACUGGAUGCGAACGAUUCCGGAGAAGAAGAAGAAGUGGUUCGGACAAGGAUUUUAUUUAUAUUGACGGGAUUCUUAUAUUGAUGAAGUUGAAGAAGUCCAGGGACAAAUAAGCCAAGGCAAGCCAUCUUUUGAUCUCUGAUAUGAUGUCUCUUUGGAUGUCAUCUUGUGCUAUCAAUAGCAUCUUGGUUCUAUGUGUGAUGAUCUCCAUAUUGUUGUCAUCUAUGCUUGGAUGCAAGCAUGGUACCUCUAGUAGUUUUAUCUUGUCAAGGUCUUGGUAAUUGGUUGGGUGUAUGGUAUCAUGGCCAUUGCUAUCCAACUUGCUUUCUAUAUUUAGCUUGAAUAUGUUCCACCUCGGGACAAGAUUCAUACUACACCCCCUUCUAGUGUAGAUGUAUCAAUACCAUGUUUUUGGUGUAUUCUCAAAUUGUGAUGAGUAUGCCUGUUUUCCCUUAAUGGUGUUGGUGUUGGUCAAUUCUCAUCCCUAUCUAUCUAUUGAUUGGGUUAGAUAGCACCACAAAUCUGAAAGUAUAUUUCCUCUUGUGUUGUCAUAAUACAUGCUUAGCUCAAGCAAGUAUGAUCCACUCCAAUACCUCUUUUUCAUACCCUCAAUGGCGUGAUGACCCUCAUCUCGGCCAUAGUGUUGUAUUAGUUCAACUCAUGAAACUUUAGAUUGGGA